GGCGUUCCCCGAGCCUUCUACGUUAGCGCGUUGAUCGGUCGCGACUUGCCUUGCCGCGAGGAACCUUUUCACUUCGCCGCCCUCCCUGUUGGUUCGAACGCCCCGGAAACGUUUGCCUGCGCCUCACGUCCUAGGAAGAAAGUUCACUACUCACUUCUUCAAAAUCAAGACGACCAGCAGGGAAACAACAAAAAGUUGAAAAUCGGCCGAGAGGUACCAGACAUGUGGCAUCACAGACUGCAAACCCGCUGCCUGCCUGAAAGAAAAAUAUUGCCGGACAAUUCAUGGA
rnacentral:lncRNA from 1 species